CAGUCGCCGCGGGAAUACGUAGGUCCCGAGCGUUGUCCGGAUUUAUUGGGCGUAGAGCGAGCGCAGGCGGUUAGAUAAGUCUGAAGUUAAAGGCUGUGGCUUAACCAUAGUACGCUUUGGAAACUGUUUAACUUGAGUGCAAGAGGGGAGAGUGGAAUUCCAUGUGUAGCGGUGAAAUGCGUAGAGAUGUGGAGGAACACCAGUGGCGAAGGCGACUCUCUGGUCUGCAACUGACGCUGAGGAGCGAAAGCGUGGGGAGCGAACAGGAUUAGAUACCCCCGUAGUCCCUGUCUCUUAUACA
rnacentral:rRNA from 1 species